rnacentral:tRNA from 1 species
GGCCCAGUGGCUCAGUUGGUUAGAGUGCCGGCCUGUCACGCCGGAGGUCGAGGUUCGAACCCCUUCUGGGUCGCCA